GGACGAACGCUGGCGGUGUGCCUAAUGCAUGCAAGUCGAACGCAUUCUUCGGAAUGAGUGGCGCACGGCUGAGGAACACGUGACUAACCUACCCCGGUGUGGGGGAUAACGGGUCGAAAGACUCGCUAAUCCCGCAUACGAUAUCCUUUGGAUAGGAAAGCCUUACGGCGCACUGGGCGGGGGUCGCGUCCCAUUAGAUGGUUGGUGUGGUAAUGGCGCACCAAGUCGAUGAUGGGUCUCUGGUCUGAGAGGACGACCAGACAGAUUGGGACUGAGACACGGCCCAAACUCCUACGGGGGGCAGCAGCAAGGAAUUUUCGGCAAUGGGCGCAAGCCUGACCGAGCAACGCCGCAUGGAGGAUGACGGCUCUUGGGUUGUAAACUCCUUUUGGGGGGGACGAUAAUGACGGUACCCUCCGAAUCAGGCCCGGCUAACUACGUGCCAGCAGCCGCGGUAAUACGUAGGGGCCAAGCGUUGUCCGGAAUUACUGGGCGUAAAGCGUGGGUAGGUGGUCGGUGAUGUGCCGCGUGAAAGCGCCGGAGUAAUGCCGGCGAGGUCGUGGUAGACACACGGACUAGAGGCUCGCAGAGGAACGUGGAAUUCCCGGUGUAGUGGUGAAAUGCGUAGAUAUCGGGAGGAACACCAGUGGCGCAAGCGGCGUUCUGGGCGAGACCUGACACUGAGCCACGACGGCGUGGGGAGCAAACAGGAUUAGAUACCCUGGUAGUCCACGCAGUAAACGAUGCAUACCAGGUGUGGGAUGGCGUUCGCGUCGUUCCGUGCCGCAGCUUACG
rnacentral:rRNA from 1 species